AGCAGCCAUCGCCUUCUCCGGUGAGAAGGCGACGGACUGCCUUCUCACCGGAGAAGGCAACUGGGCUGCCUUCUCCGGUGAGAAGGCAGUCCGUCGCCUUCUCACCGGAGAAGGCGAUGGCUGCU
rnacentral:pre_miRNA from 1 species